AACAAGAAUGUAUAAAAGGCUGCAGUAAGAUCGAUCCGCAGCAUCGUGUAUUUCUUUUUGAAUAUGGGUAGCAGCAGUAGCGAAAUCAACCUUGAUACUAUCAAUAAACCCUUGGAAAAUGAGAUUCAUGACGCAGAAUGCCGUUUCGAACCAAGAGAAGUUACCUUUGUUCAAAAUAACGGUUUGGAUGACAAAACUUAUCAUAUUUUAGCUUUAUUUAGGAACUGCAAAAAAGGUUGCAGACACUCCAAAAAGAAUACAUUUGAAAAAUAUGAAAAAACCAAAGAAACUUUUUAUAAGUCAGAUAUUACUGACUGCAAUAUUCAACUUCAUCAGCGAGGAUAUUCAAUGUGUGAAAUAUUCUGGGAGAAACGUUAUGAAGAUGACGGAUCUGUGGGAUAUGUACAGAAUGAACAGUGCUAUUGUUUAGAGGACAGAACUGUUAAAUCAGAGGAUUAAAAUUCAUCUUAUGUUGUUGCGACAGUCACUAUCCAUGCGACUGUGCUGGUGUAGCAGGAUGGAUCAACCAGCACAGAAAGAAAGACACUGACAGAAAAACGUCGAUACGAUUAAGGAUAUUAUUUUAUAUUAAUGAACUGCAUGAGUGAAUUAUACGUCUGUCCUCAUAUGCGAAGUAUUACACUUAUACAACAUUAUACUGGAAAAGAAAAAAACAUAGAAAAAUUUGUAACAUGUAUAUUAUAUGCCAAUAUGCUUAUUAAGUUUAAAUAUAACAAAGUUAUAUUCAAUAUCAGCUGAAUGUAAAUUUAUAUAGGAAACAACCCAGAAAUAACCAUAAUCAAUAAUAAAAGUGUCAAAAAAUGUAA